rnacentral:rRNA from 1 species
UACGUAGGGGGCAAGCGUUGUCCGGAAUCAUUGGGCGUAAAGCGCGCGUAGGCGGCCCGGUAAGUCCGCUGUAAAAGUCCAGGGCUCAACCCUGGAAAGCCGGUGGAUACUGUCGGGCUAGAGUCCGGAAGAGGCGAGUGGAAUUCCUGGGUGUAGCGGUGGAAUGCGCAGAUAUCAGGAGGAACACCGAUGGCGAAGGCAGCUCGCUGGGACGGUGACUGACGCUGAGGCGCCGAAAGCGUGGGGAGCGAACAGG